UACGUAGGUGGCAAGCGUUGUCCGGAUUUAUUGGGCGUAAAGCGAGCGCAGGUGGUUUCUUAAGUCUGAUGUGAAAGCCCACGGCUCAACCGUGGAAGGUCAUUGGAAACUGGGGAACUUGAAUGCAGAAGAGGAGAGUGGAAUUCCAUGUGUAGCGGUGAAAUGCGUAGAUAUAUGGAGGAACACCAGUGGCGAAGGCGACUCUCUGGUCUGUUAUUGACACUAAGGCUCGAAAGCGUGGGGAGCAAACAGGAUUAGA
rnacentral:rRNA from 1 species